UACGUAGGCAGCGAGCGUUGUUCGGAAUUACUGGGCGUAAAGAGUGUGUAGGCGGUGCUCUAAGUUCGGUGUGAAAUCUCCUGGCUUAACUGGGAGGGUGCGCCGGAAACUGGAGUGCUCGAGCGUGGGAGAGGAAAGCGGAAUUCCUGGUGUAGCGGUGAAAUGCGUAGAUAUCAGGAGGAACACCUGUGGUGUAGACAGCUUUCUGGACCAUAGCUGACGCUGAGACACGAAAGCGUGGGUAGCAAACAGG
rnacentral:rRNA from 1 species